rnacentral:rRNA from 1 species
AUUGAACGCUGGCGGCAUGCUUUACACAUGCAAGUCGAACGGCAGCGGGGUAGUGCUUGCACUACUGCCGGCGAGUGGCGAACGGGUGGGUAAUAUAUCGGAACGUACCGAGUAAUGGGGGAUAACCAAUCGAAAGAUUGGCUAAUACCGCAUACGUCCUGAGGGAGAAAGCGGGGGAUCGCAAGACCUCGCGUUAUUCGAGCGGCCGAUAACUGAUUAGCUAGUUGGUGGGGUAAAGGCCUACCAAGGCGACGAUCAGUAGCGGGUCUGAGAGGACGAUCCGCCACACUGGGACUGAGACACGGCCCAGACUCCUACGGGAGGCAGCAGUGGGGAAUUUUGGACAAUGGGGGCAACCCUGAUCCAGCCAUGCCGCGUGUAUGAAGAAGGCCUUCGGGUUGUAAAGUACUUUUGUUAGGGAAGAAAAGGGAAGUGCUAAUACCACUUUUUGCUGACGGUACCUAAAGAAUAAGCACCGGCUAACUACGUG